AAACUUACUUGGCAGGAGGGAUACAAGGAUCAAGAAGGUGGUUUUCCCAACAUGAGGUUCUGCUAUUUAACUUUGAUUAGGUUGGCCCCUGUGAUUUCCCCAAAUGUAGCAAAUUCAACUGUAUAAUUUAUGGUAGUGGGGGACUGCAUUCACACUGUCCCCUA